rnacentral:rRNA from 3 species
AAAUUGAAGAGUUUGAUCAUGGCUCAGAUUGAACGCUGGCGGCAGGCCUAACACAUGCAAGUCGAACGGUAACAGGAAGCAGCUUGCUGCUUCGCUGACGAGUGGCGGACGGGUGAGUAAUGUCUGGGAAACUGCCUGAUGGAGGGGGAUAACUACUGGAAACGGUAGCUAAUACCGCAUAACGUCGCAAGACCAAAGAGGGGGACCUUCGGGCCUCUUGCCAUCGGAUGUGCCCAGAUGGGAUUAGCUAGUAGGUGGGGUAACGGCUCACCUAGGCGACGAUCCCUAGCUGGUCUGAGAGGAUGACCAGCCACACUGGAACUGAGACACGGUCCAGACUCCUACGGGAGGCAGCAGUGGGGAAUAUUGCACAAUGGGCGCAAGCCUGAUGCAGCCAUGCCGCGUGUAUGAAGAAGGCCUUCGGGUUGUAAAGUACUUUCAGCGGGGAGGAAGGCGGUGAGGUUAAUAACCUCAUCGAUUGACGUUACCCGCAGAAGAAGCACCGGCUAACUCCGUGCCAGCAGCCGCGGUAAUACGGAGGGUGCAAGCGUUAAUCGGAAUUACUGGGCGUAAAGCGCACGCAGGCGGUCUGUCAAGUCGGAUGUGAAAUCCCCGGGCUCAACCUGGGAACUGCAUUCGAAACUGGCAGGCUAGAGUCUUGUAGAGGGGGGUAGAAUUCCAGGUGUAGCGGUGAAAUGCGUAGAGAUCUGGAGGAAUACCGGUGGCGAAGGCGGCCCCCUGGACAAAGACUGACGCUCAGGUGCGAAAGCGUGGGGAGCAAACAGGAUUAGAUACCCUGGUAGUCCACGCCGUAAACGAUGUCGACUUGGAGGUUGUGCCCUUGAGGCGUGGCUUCCGGAGCUAACGCGUUAAGUCGACCGCCUGGGGAGUACGGCCGCAAGGUUAAAACUCAAAUGAAUUGACGGGGGCCCGCACAAGCGGUGGAGCAUGUGGUUUAAUUCGAUGCAACGCGAAGAACCUUACCUACUCUUGACAUCCAGAGAACUUUCCAGAGAUGGAUUGGUGCCUUCGGGAACUCUGAGACAGGUGCUGCAUGGCUGUCGUCAGCUCGUGUUGUGAAAUGUUGGGUUAAGUCCCGCAACGAGCGCAACCCUUAUCCUUUGUUGCCAGCGGUCCGGCCGGGAACUCAAAGGAGACUGCCAGUGAUAAACUGGAGGAAGGUGGGGAUGACGUCAAGUCAUCAUGGCCCUUACGAGUAGGGCUACACACGUGCUACAAUGGCGCAUACAAAGAGAAGCGACCUCGCGAGAGCAAGCGGACCUCAUAAAGUGCGUCGUAGUCCGGAUUGGAGUCUGCAACUCGACUCCAUGAAGUCGGAAUCGCUAGUAAUCGUGGAUCAGAAUGCCACGGUGAAUACGUUCCCGGGCCUUGUACACACCGCCCGUCACACCAUGGGAGUGGGUUGCAAAAGAAGUAGGUAGCUUAACCUUCGGGAGGGCGCUUACCACUUUGUGAUUCAUGACUGGGGUGAAGUCGUAACAAGGUAACCGUAGGGGAACCUGCGGUUGGAUCACCUCCUUACCUUAAAGAA